UCCAGGCCCUACGGGGCGCAGCAGGCGCGAAACCUCCGCAAUGCGCGUAAGCGUGACGGGGCCACCCCGAGUGCCGUCCGCUGAGGAUGGCUUUUCCUCGGUCUAACCAGCCGAGGGAAUAAGGGGAGGGCAAGCCUGGUGUCAGCCGCCGCGGUAA
rnacentral:rRNA from 1 species